AUACGGAGGGAGCUAGCGUUGUUCGGAAUUACUGGGCGUAAAGCGCACGUAGGCGGAUUGGUCAGUUGGAGGUGAAAUCCCAGGGCUCAACCCUGGAACUGCCUUCAAUACUGCCAGUCUAGAGAUCGGAAGAGGUGAGUGGAAUUCCUAGUGUAGAGGUGAAAUUCGUAGAUAUUAGGAGGAACACCAGUGGCGAAGGCGGCUCACUGGUCCGAUACUGACGCUGAGGUGCGAAAGCGUGGGGAGCAAACAGGAUUAGAAACCCCAGUAGUCC
rnacentral:rRNA from 1 species